rnacentral:rRNA from 1 species
UGUUGUGGGGGUCCUCCCUAAAGAACCCCAAUAUUUUAACGGAGAAAUUCCAUAUUACCUUCCAACGGCGUAAUGUGCACUUUUCUCUUAGUAAGACGCCGUGAUCCAUUAGAAAUUGGUGCACGCCAAGUGCACAGUGGGUCAUCAAUAGGCCAACGUGAAGUUUAUUGGAACAAAUGGCGCGAUUUUUCACGGUUGGGUGUAUUGUUUGGUAAGCGCGUCGAUACUUGCAAUUGUUGUUUGGCGGAUUUUAGAGAAAUCAUCAACGGUGCUUCGGCACCGGCACUUGCGCAAACGAAGUGUGUCUGUUCAACGGCGGUUAAAUUUGGGAUCCCUUUUGGACCCGUCUGGAAACACGGACCAAGGAGUCUAUCUAGUAUGCGAGUAAAUGGAUAGUUAACGAAAUCUAUCUGCGCAACAAAAGUGACUGUUGUGGGAUUACAGGAUGUGGCUUUCAUCGGUCACUUCUCUUCCAUCCCGGGGUAUUUUCAUCCACAUAUACGCAAGUAUAUGGAAAAUAUACCAUGAGCACACUGGAUACGACCCGAAAGAUGGUGAACUAUGCCUGAUCAGGUCGAAGUCAGGGGAAACCCUGAUGGAGGACCGAAGCAGUUCUGACGUGCAAAUCGAUGUCAGAAUGGCAUAGCGAAGUCGAACCC